GACGAACGCUGGCGGCGUGCCUAAUACAUGCAAGUAGAACGCUGAAGAGAGGAGCUUGCUCUUCCUGGAUGAGUUGCGAACGGGUGAGUAACGCGUAGGUAACCUGCCUUGUAGCGGGGGAUAACUAUUGGAAACGAUAGCUAAUACCGCAUAACAAUGGAUGACACAUGUCAUUUACUUGAAAGGGGCAAUUGCUCCACUACAAGAUGGACCUGCGUUGUAUUAGCUAGUAGGUGAGGUAAUGGCUCACCUAGGCGACGAUACAUAGCCGACCUGAGAGGGUGAUCGGCCACACUGGGACUGAGACACGGCCCAGACUCCUACGGGAGGCAGCAGUAGGGAAUCUUCGGCAAUGGGGGCAACCCUGACCGAGCAACGCCGCGUGAGUGAAGAAGGGUUUCGGAUCGUAAAGCUCUGUUGUAAGUCAAGAACGGGUGUGAGAGUGGAAAGUUCACACUGUGACGGUAGCUUACCAGAAAGGGACGGCUAACUACGUG
rnacentral:rRNA from 1 species